AUAUAUUUUUGUAGUUAUUUUAACAAAUAAAUCUUAGAGUUGGACUUAUUUACAACCCAAUGCCAUUAGCAUUAAAUAUUUUUUUCAAAAUAAUUAAUUUUACUUUAAAUUCUUAAUUUAAAUUGUCAAUCACAUUAUCAAUCAAAUUUAAUCCAAACAAACUUCACAUCAAUCCCUUAAAAUUAGCAUAAACGUAUUUGUUAACAAUAUUUUA
rnacentral:sRNA from 1 species